rnacentral:rRNA from 1 species
UGGGGAAUUUUGGAUCAAUGGGCGAAAGCCUGAUCCAGCAAUGCCGCGUGUGUGAAGAAGGCCUUCGGGUUGUAAAGCACUUUUGUCCGGAAAGAAAUCCUUGGCUCUAAUACAGUCGGGGGAGUGACGGUACCGGAAGAAUAAGCACCGGCUAACUACGUGCCAGCAGCCGCGGUAAUACGUAGGGUGCAAGCGUUAAUCGGAAUUACUGGGCGUAAAGCGUGCGCAGGCGGUUUGCUAAGACCGAUGUGAAAUCCCCGGGCUCAACCUGGGAACUGCAUUGGUGACUGGCAGGCUAGAGUAUGGCAGAGGGGGGUGAGAAUUCCACGUGUAGCAGUGAAAUGCGUAGAGAUGUGGAGGAAUACCGAUGGCGAAGGCAGCCCCCUGGCAAGUACUGACGCUCAUGCACG